rnacentral:misc_RNA from 1 species
UUUCCGUAGGUGAACCUGCGGAAGGAUCAUUACAGUGUUCCCUGCACUUCGGGGUAGGAUCGCCACCCUUGAUUAUUUAUGAGUGUUGCUUUGGCGGGCCUCGCGGCCUGGCCGCGCCCCGGCUUCGGCGGGGGAGCGCCCGCCAGAGGAUUCUACAAACCUGAUUAUUAGUGUCGUCUGAGUACUAUAUAAUAGUUAAAACUUUCAACAACGGAUCUCUUGGUUCUG